GAGGAAGAAUUCCCUCUACAUACUUUCACUCUUUUUAUCUGAAGGAUACUCCAUGCAAGAGCACAUUUUAAUGCUGUUUCCUCCCAGAAUGAGCCUAAAACUGUGCUCUAAAAGGAAGAUUGCGACAUUCUUAAUUCAGUUUUUCAAGUCGAAAUUGGUUUUGUGCAGUUACAUUCAUAGGAAAAAGUAUGGAAAAAAAAAAAAAAAAGAAAGGGAACGGUGUGCCUCAGCUGGGCAGCGUGGUGGAGGCAGACGGCUCGGAGGAGACCUGUCGCAACGCUUGACUCCUUCUGCUCGUGCAGGUUUGGCGCUUAAGCUAAUUUGUAAGCAUUUAGGGCCGGACUCUGAUCUCCCUCCUGCCGCAGCCGCUCCACAGAGGCUGGCGAGCGCUUCCCAGCAGACACGAGGUGGGGAACCUCGCCGGCUGGAUUUGGUCCCGUCUCCGAUGUUUUGUGCUGCCGGGUGUGGGUGUAAGUAAUUCUGACAAAGCGAGGUGCUGGAGGUGGAGCAUCUUCAGCAGCAGCGCUGCAUGGCUGUAGGGAUUAACCCCAAGGCCUCAUCCUGCCAGACGGGAUGCUCUCCCCGAGGCUGGCAGGCAGGGGAGGGCUUCCAGUACUUUCCUGUGCCUCCUUCAGGGCUCAGCUUGAGGCUUGCAGAUGCUGACAAUGAGCCCAUUUCCCUGGGGACACCAGCCCGUGUCCCCCCAGGGCAAAGCUGGCACAAAAGCCACAGCUGAUGGUGCCUCGCCAAGGACAUGAGGGGCUGUGUUGGUGCAUUGCAGAGCAUUGUGGAUACCCAGCGUUGGGCCUGAAGUUGUGGCAAGCCAUCUGAUGGGGCAGAGCUCCUGGGAACCUCUUCAUUGAUGCUGUGCUAUCCUCUGGGGCCUCCUUUCCUUCUCAAGAGCUCCAGCUGCUGUCCUCUACAUCUCACCUGCCCCAUGAUGAACCUUGUUUUCCUUGGUGGUCAUGGCACGUCUGUUGAUGGCAGCUUGAGUGCACCCACACCAUUUGAGCAGUUUCACUUCCAGGCUCAUACAUUGGUGUUCAAAGACUUUACUCUUAUUCUGAUGACCAGUGGAGGACCCCCUGCUUGGGCUGAUGCUGAAACAUUUUAAACGUGUUCUCCAGAAAGCUGUAGGUCUCCAUCAUGAAAGUAGAGCAGGGAUCCUACUCUUAAACCCGUCACAUAUGUUCAAGAAAUCAAACCUUUGGUGGACAUCAAUGAGGAAAGCCCGAGUGAUGACUCUGCCGAGUUUUAAGCUGUCCAUUGAUCUACUCACUGAAUCCUUUUCCUCUUAGAGAUUUUUGUAUAGCAGAAUAUAACUCAAAGAAGAGAAAAGUGCAUUUCCUGGGAACCCCUGUCAUACCUUUCUUCUAUCAAAAUAAUUUAUAAGAUCAACUCUUCCAUGGGAAUUAAUGCCUAUAACACUCGCUGGACAUUGAAGAGGGGGGAACGAAUGUUAAUAACACAAGUGUGUGGCUCCUGUGAGAGAAGCGUGCAUGGAACAGAGAAUGUGAUUCUGCUUCAGCCCCAGAAAGCUACAGAAAUCAAUGCUUCAUUCAAGGCUAUUGAUCAGUACUAAAUUAAUUAGACUUCAAGGCUUAUGGCAGUUGAUAAGACAACUUGUUAAUUUAGUCAAUGAUAGUGUUUUCCCUAAAGCAGCAAAUACCCUCUUUCUCAGAAAAGACAUUUCUAGCACUUGCUAUGCGACUUUCCCCCCUCCUCCUUUUAUUAAAAAAAAAAAAAAAAAAUCACUUUACAUUUAAAUUAAGAUAAGAAUGGGAUGGGGGAGAUACUUCCAUUUACCCCUAUUUGCCUUCUUUUGCUCUAACGUAGGAGCAGGGUGUUGAUAACAUCUGAUGUAAUUUAAUAGGACGGCAGCAUAACAUUUAGCUUCUUCGACCCCGGCCCAUUGACGGCGAUGUUCAUUUGGGAAAGCUGCUGGGGGGAGGAGGAGGAGGAGGGAGCAGACCCACUUUUUUCUAACCGCGUUUUUAAAAUGGCAAGCCCAGGGCUUCUGCUUCCCAGGCGAGAAGGAUGCUUGUCGCCACUGACAAAGGCACGGGCGCUGCCGGUGCUGCAAGCCGUGAAUGCGACGAAGGUAUCCCAGAAUACCCCGGACACCGGGCCGUACUUCCUGCUGGCUGGGAAGGACAAAAGGACAAAGCCGAAGGAGUGCCGGGGUCCCACCACCAGCUCUUGGAGGCACCAGUCUGCCACCAGCAGCACUCCAACCCUCGGAGAAUGCUAAUAAGCCACUGAAGAGCUCGGCUUUCCUGCCAUAAUUCUAUAGCGCCGUCGAGGACCCCAUAGUGUUCACUAAAUAAAGACAACUAAUUGAGAAUUUUUUGCA
rnacentral:lncRNA from 1 species